rnacentral:rRNA from 1 species
CCUACGGGUGGCAGCAGUGAGGAAUCUUGGUCAAUGGACGCAAGUCUGAACCAGCCAUGCCGCGUGCAGGAAUACGGCUCUAUGAGUUGUAAACUGCUUUUGUACGAGGGUAAACGCAGAUACGCGUAUCUGUCUGAAAGUAUCGUACGAAUAAGGAUCGGCUAACUCCGUGCCAGCAGCCGCGGUAAUACGGAGGAUUCAAGCGUUAUCCGGAUUUAUUGGGUUUAAAGUGUGCGUAGGCGGUCUGAUAAGUUAGAGGUGAAAUCCCGAGGCUCAACUUCGGAAUUGCCUCUGAUACUGUUAGGCUAGAGAGUAGUUGCGGUAGGCGGAAUGUAUGGUGUAGCGGUGAAAUGCUUAGAGAUCAUACAGAACACCGAUUGCGAAGGCAGCUUACCAAGCUACUUCUGACGUUGAGGCACGAAAGCGUGGGGAGCAAACAGGAUUAGAUACCCUAGUAGUC